rnacentral:rRNA from 1 species
UACGUAGGGUGCAAGCGUUGUCCGGAAUUAUUGGGCGUAAAGAGCUCGUAGGCGGUUUGUUGCGUCAGCUGUGAAAUCCCGAGGCUCAACCUCGGGUCUGCAGUCGAUACGAGCAAACUAGAGUGUUGCAGGGGAGACUGGAAUUCCUGGUGUAGCGGUGAAAUGCGCAGAUAUCAGGAGGAACACCGGUGGCGAAGGCAGGUCUCUGGGCAUUAACUGACGCUGAGGAGCGAAAGCAUGGGGAGCGAACAGG